UUCAUGUUUAAAAUGAUAAAGGACAGUUCAGUCUGAAUUUUGUUAUUUUAAAUCAUUUUCUCAGUUAAAUCAUUUAAAAACAGUCGACCAGGUUGUUCAGUGGGCCGUUCAGGAAUUGUUAUUGAUGUAGAGAAUGGCUACCUAGGAGCUUCACCAGAUGGUUUAAUUGGUAAAAAUGGCAUAAUCGAAAUAAAAUGCUUGUAUAAAGUACACAAGGCUGGUCUGACACUGCGAAAAGCUGCAGAAACUGACAAAACUCUUUGUGUACAGAUUGAUAGCAAAAAUAAAGUUGUUUUAAAACGAACACACAAAUAUUAUUAUCAGGUGCAAGGCCAAUUAAAUAUAUCUAAAAAAGGUAUGUGUUUUUUUAUUUUAUACAUUAAUGACCAAGAAGAUCUCCAUGUGGAAAUUAUUUUAAGAGAUGAACAAUUUUGGGCUGAAAAAAUGCUAC